ACGGGAGGCAGCAGUGGGGGAUAUUGCACAAUGGAGGAAACUCUGAUGCAGCAACGCCGCGUGAGGGAAGAAGGUCUUCGGAUUGUAAACCUCUGUUUUUGGUGAAGAAUAACUGACGGUAGCCAAGGAGGAAGCCACGGCUAACUACGUGCCAGCAGCCGCGGUAAUACGUAGGUGGCAAGCGUUAUCCGGAAUUACUGGGUGUAAAGGGAGCGCAGGCGGGACUUCAAGUCAGCGGUGAAAAUUAUGGGCUCAACCCAUAAACUGCCGUUGAAACUGUAGUUCUUGAGUGGAGUAGAGGCAGGCGGAAUUCCGAGUGUAGCGGUGAAAUGCGUAGAUAUUCGGAGGAACACCAGUGGCGAAGGCGGCCUGCUGGGCUCUAACUGACGCUGAGGCUCGAAAGUGUGGGGAGCAAACAGGAUUAGAUACCCUGGUA
rnacentral:rRNA from 1 species